rnacentral:pre_miRNA from 1 species
AAAUUACUCCCUCCGUCUCAAAAUUCUUGUCUUAGAUUUGUCUAGAUACGGAUGUAUCAAGUCACAUUUUAGUAUUAGAUACAUCCGUAUCUAGACAAAUCUAAGACAAGAAAUUUGGGACAGAGGGAGUAGUUG